UUAGACUUUUAAAAUUUGAUGUUUUUUUAAAAUUCGGAUUCCUAUUUUCUAUUUUUGCCAUACAAAUUUAGCCUUAGGCAUAAUCUAUGCAUAAAUAGACUUACGACUUAAAGAGACCUUAAGCAUUAAAAAGACAGAGAUUUGCAAAGAAUACUCAUUCUAAGGCAAGGCAAUCAAUAUACCCUUAAAUAAUGCCCAUACAAAGUUGUCUCAACCUUGAAAUAUAUGCCAUAUAAAGCUGAAUUUCGUUAGUUUUUGUUUUUGAAGCAAAGCUAAAAAGAAAACUCAACUUUUUUUUUUUGUUUUACUAUAUUUUGGAGCACUGCUUUUCGGCGCCUCUCUCAGCGAUUCUCAGGCUGCCAGCUGUAAAGCUCCGUCAGUUCUGUGCAAGAAGCAAGCUUUGAUUAAUUCCAUCAGAUUUUCCUGUCAACACGAAAUGCAACGCAAAGUGGAAACGCAAGAAUUGCCCCGGGGUCAAUGAAAUAAAACGCAAUUGCCCAGCGACCAACCAACCACCCCCCCUUCCCUCCAACGCAAGCGAUUGCAAAGGUAAGCAGAACUAAGCGCUGCCGGCGAGAGAGAGCGCGGCAGCAGCAGCGAUCGGAGCGCAGAGUCAUCAACACAACUCAUAGUAAAAAAGAGGUGAGUGGCAUAACAAGGCAAACAAACCGGCGGACGCAACAGAGCGACGCGAAGCAAACCAAAGCAAAGGCAGUGAAGCAGCAGCAGCAGCAGCAGCAGCAGCAGCAGCAGCAACGGCAGCGGCAGCGGCAGCGGCAGAGACACUCAAGCGGUUAGCCAGCCGCUCAGUGUGACAGUGAACGUCGUACGUCGUUGUGUUAUGGCAGCAGACGCAGUAAGCUGCUCGAGAAGAAAAAACCAGCAGCAACAACAACAACAGCAGCAGCAGCAAAACAACAGUAAUAGUUGUGCAGUGAAGAAAAAAGGCAAACGGCGCAUAAACUGUGCGACAAAGUGCAAGAAAUAAAAACAACAACAACAACAACAACUACAAUUCGAAGAGCAACAGUUGUCCACCACCUGAGAUCUCAUAUUCAACACAUCAAAAGCGCAAGAGGAAGCAGAUACCGCAAAUA